CGUUCCUACACGAUAGCGUGUGGAGAACAUUCUAGCCAGGAAGCGGGUCUGAUCUUCGAGGUACGAAGAUUACGUGCACGAAUAUACUGCCGUUACUUCGACUUUAAUUACCCACAAUCCUCCAGAACAGAUCGAAUUGCGUGCACACGUACACCGAUGUAAUCAUCGCGCCUAAAGCGUUGGGUUAGAAAAAAGGUAUGAUACCUGGCUGGGGAAAGCUGUUAGGAAAAUCUGAUCUUUUUCCGCUCGACUGUACGCCUUCAGCCUCGGUUCCUCCAUCUGAUUCUACUUAAAGCCUCGCUGCUGGAUCUUGAUUAACGCAAAUCAGGUGUGUUUGUGUAGGGAGCGAGCCAGGGCCUUCGCCGAUGCCUUUUUUUUUUUUUUUCCACGGAAAAACGUAAAGGAGAGACCGAUUAGGAGCAUGCAGAGAUGCUGGAGGGAGAGAAACAAAAUACAUCUGAGGUUUGAUUAAUACCGGUACUGUCCCUAAAACAGGAUUCGCAGACGACAACUAAACGCGAAUAUUCGCCACAGGGGGUGUUUGUGGACGUGUAUAACUGUUCGAUCUGACAACGCGGAGGGAUGUUGGGACAUCGUGCCAGUCACAGGCAGCGUUUUUAAAAGGCUUACGUAAACACAAACGAGGCUAAACACAGCACCGUCUGGACAAGCGUUCAUAUUAAUAGCCCCAGUGUUAAUAUUACUGCUAAUGUAAACAGAAUUAAAUGGUUGCUAGUGUCCCGAUGGUUUGGGAAACCGCAAACCAGACAUCUGGGAACAGGGACAGUCUUAAAGGAGGUGUUUACACUGGAGUAUCGAAAGACAGAAAUAUAACAGGAAGUGGUGAUCUGCAGGGUCCAGGCAC
ensembl:lncRNA